UUUUUGGGGGGGAAAGUUGGGCAGCGAGAAUGAUUCAUCACCAGCGACAGGAGUUUGGAGUGUGCCUGAUCACUUUGGUAGAAGUUUAAAAGGAUAUCCUUGAAGAUUAACCAGAGAACUUUUCAUAUACUUCUAAAGGUAGGAAAUAGAAGCCCCCUUUUUUUGGUUAUAAAAUAUGUUGUAUUUGUUUUAGCUAUGUUUGAAUAAUUUACUUCCCUUGUAGAUAUAGAUAGAAUUGAUGCUGC
rnacentral:lncRNA from 1 species